UUCAUAAAUCAUAUCAGCCUAAGACUGGUUGCCCACUGAAGCUAAGCAGGGUUGAGCCUGGUCAGUACCUGGAUGGGAGACCUCCUGGGAAAACCUGGUGCUGUUAGUGAGG
rnacentral:rRNA from 1 species